rnacentral:misc_RNA from 1 species
CCCUUAUCCUCUCUUUGUUUUCAUGUGCUAAUAAAAACGACAUUAGCUAUUUACACCAAAAAAUUAAUCACUUUUCUUAAAUUUCUAAGUAAUUAAGGAGAAUUAUUUCCCUGUAGAGAAUACAAAAAUAAUGUCUAAGGAAUCGGAAAUUUAAAAAAAAAGUUAUAAAUAUAGAUUUAGUCUACAUAUAGCAAAAUUUCUAUUUUUAUCCGAGUAUAUAUUUUUCAAAAUACUGUAUUUUACAAAAUACAUGGACUAACUAAUUUGUUUCAUUAAAAUAGAGGGACUAAAUAGGAGUGUUUUUUAAAAUACAGGGAUCAACUAAAUGUUGAUUUCCGAUAAUAGAGAAUUCCAUGUGAAAUCAUGUAAUAAUCUCCUUAUAAGGAGAUCAGAUUAUGAAU